AGCGGUUGGCAUCCAGGGUGCCCGUGACCUUGCGGCAGCCGAUGAAACCAUGCUCCCCGCGGAACACAAUGAUGGGGCGGUUGAUAAGCUUCAUGAGGAAGAGCUCCGAGUCCCCUGUCCCAAGAAAGGGGAGGGGCGAUACAGACAAAUAUCUCAAGGUGGAAUGCCCUGAUGUCAGGGACUUGCCUGAAAUACCAUCAAAAACAAUGACUAUAGGGACAGAUGGAGCUAGAUGGCAGAAUAUCGCCUCUGGGAGAAACUGGCUUUUCCCAACAUGUGUCAGAAGCACAGACACGGCCUCCUUUGCCACGCAGGCCUGUGCAAAAUGGCCUCUGAGACACGCCUCCAGCCCCGGAGCAGCUCCAGGUCCUCUGGUCUCCUCCCAUCCCAGCAGGAAGCCUUGCGGUCAGCUAACACGAGAACAGAUGAGGACCCCAAGAUCCGAGGCCCAAAGAGCCCCAAUCUCAGCCCCCAAAGACCCCUCCUCCAAAGAACCCUCCUUGUACCUUUAAACUCAGAGAGUAGCCAACAUUUCUCCUGGCCCAA